GACUAUCUGAUUGGAUGGUAAAAGGCCAAUCGGAGCUAGGGAUAGGCGGGUCCCAAUGCGUUCAAAUUUGUGUGUGUGUAAUCCAAAAGCUGUAACAGAGCUGCUGGGUGUGUGAAUCGUCCUGACCAGGGGAACGAUAAGGAUUUGGGACAUAACCGCUGAGGUUUCACAAAGCGACCGGGUUGCCGUUACACCAGCAACUUCGUAAGCUGUAUCCUUCACCAUGAUGCCUUCUCUUCGUCCAUCUCGGCCAGUGGCUUCCAAACUUCCGAAACUGGGGAAGCCGGUUACUGCAGAGAAUAAUCGACUUGAUAAGGUGGAGAUCAGUCAGACAAAGCGUUCUCCUUCCUCUCCACAGGGAGGCGCAAAGAAGAGAGCAGCAUUUGGAGACAUUACCAAUGCUCACAAAAACCCACAACUAAUUCAGAAGAAGAAGGAGGGACAGAAAGUUGCCAUCAAGAAGACCAAAAGUGCUCCCACAAGUGACAUUACAAAGAAUAAUGAGCUCAAUAUCAAGAAGACUCAGAAGAAGGCCACAGUAACUGAAGAACAUCUCCCUGAAGUAAAAGAAGAAAAAAUAAACACUGAGCAGAAAACAUCAGUACCUACCAAGGAAAUACCUGAGGAAAAGGUUCUUCCACCUGGUGUUGAGGACAUAGACCAGGACUCUCUUGACGACCCCUUCUCUAACUCUGAAUAUGCAACGGAUAUUUUCAGCUAUAUGCGGGACAGAGAGGAGAAAUUUCUGCUUCCAAACUACCUGGAGAUGCAAACAGAUAUUAGCAAGGAUAUGAGGGCUAUCCUUGUGGAUUGGAUGGUGGAGGUGCAGGAAAACUUUGAGCUUAACCAUGAAACCCUAUACCUGGCAGUGAAAAUGGUCGACCAUUAUUUAGCAGUGUCUGUCGUCAUGAAGGAGAAGCUUCAGCUUAUUGGUUCCACUGCUGUACUCAUUGCAUCUAAGUUCGAGGAGCGUUGCCCACCCUGUGUCGACGAUUUCAUGUACAUCUGUGAUGAUGCAUACAAAAGGGAUGAGGUUAUUGCUAUGGAGAUGGAAAUCCUGCAAAAACUCUACUUUGACAUCAACAUUCCGGUCCCAUACCGCUUCCUGCGCAGAUUUGCUAAGUGUGCCCAUGCCACCAUGGAGACUCUGACCCUUGCCAGAUACAUUUGUGAACUGACCCUACAGGAAUAUGACUUUGUGCAGGAGCGUGCAUCUAAGAUGGCUGCCAGCUGCCUGUUGCUUGCUCUUCAAAUGAAGGGGUUGGGCAGAUGGACUGCCACACUACAUUAUUACAGUGGGUAUCAGACCAAUGAUUUAUUGCCCCUAGUGAAGAGGCUGAAUUUCCUACUCACAUAUCCUCCCAACAAGAAGUUAAAGGCAGUGAGGAGCAAAUACUCACACAGGGUCUUCUUUGAAGUGGCAAAAUUGCCCCCCAUGGACAUGCUAACACUUACAGAGGCCCUUCAGAGCUAAUACUGCCCAUCCUCUCCCAGGAUCUCUUCUCCUUGCCCUUGUGUAUAUAGCCUGGGUCAGAGAGGGAGGUAAGCUAGAAAUAGAGGUCUACAGGAAACCUACCCACACAGACCAGUACCUGCUGUUUGACUCCCACCAUCCACUAGAUCACAAACUGGGGGCCAUAAAAACUCUACAUCACAGAGCAGACAAGAUCCCCACUAGCACAGAGGCUAAGAUGAACGAGAGGGAACAUCUCAGAGGGGCCAUGAAGACAUCGGAGUAUCCAGAUUGGUCUUUGUAAAUCAGGUUUCACCCAUAUUAUAUACAUCACGUUUCAUGUUAUAUCUUUUACACAUCAUGUUUCAUGUUACAGCUUCUAUCAUAUUACAGCAUAUGUCAGUAUUUAGCAUAUAACAAUAUCAAAUCCACAGGUAAAACCAUCAACUGG